ACAGACAUUGAAAAAUGUUUGAAUGAUCAAAUCCAAGCUUCUCUACUAGCUUCUCUACAGUUACAAUGGGAUCUUGUUCCACCAGGGUUUGCAGGGCGUCCUCAUCAAACUUUACAGAUCUUCCAGAAUGAAGAUCGUCUUCUAGGCUGUAGUUUCUAGUUCAGAAUUUCUAGAACCACCAUUGACACUGGCUUAUGCU